UACGUAGGGUGCAAGCGUUGUCCGGAAUUAUUGGGCGUAAAGAGCUUGUAGGCGGUUUGUCGCGUCUGCUGUGAAAUUUCGGGGCUCAACCCCGAACUUGCAGUGGGUACGGGCAGACUAGAGUGUGGUAGGGGAGACUGGAAUUCCCGGUGUAGUGGUGAAAUGCGUAGAUAUCGGGAGGAACACCAGUGGCGAAGGCGACUUCCUGGCCUGUUCUUGACGCUGAGGCGCGAAAGCUAGGGGAGCAAACGGG
rnacentral:rRNA from 1 species